rnacentral:rRNA from 2 species
ACAAGUCAUGCCUAGUACGGCGAGUGAGCGGCAACAGCUCAAAUUUGAAAGCUGGCUUAGGCCCGCAUUGUAAUUUGCAGAGGAUGCUUCUGGCGAGGUGCCUUCCGAGUUCCCUGGAACGGGACGCCAUAGAGGGUGAGAGCCCCGUAUGGAUGGACACCAGACCUGUGUGAAGCUCCUUCAACGAGUCGAGUAGUUUGGGAAUGCUGCUCUAAAUGGGAGGUAAAUCUCUUCUAAAGCUAAAUACCGGCCAGAGACCGAUAGCGCACAAGUAGAGUGAUCGAAAGAUGAAAAGCACCUUGAAAAGGGGGUUAAACAGUACGUGAAAUUGUUGAAAGGGAAGCGCUUGUGACCAGACUUGCGCCGGGCAGCUCAUCAGGGGUUCUCCCCUGUGCACUCUGCCCGGCUCAGGCCAGCAUCGGUUUUCGUGGGAGGAUAAGAACGGUAGGAACGUGGCCCCCCUUCGGGGGGGUGUUAUAGCCUGCCGUACGAUACUCCCGUGGGGACCGAGGUUCGCGCUCCGCAAGGAUGCUGGCGUAAUGGUCAUCAGCGACCCGUCUUGAAA